GUGGAGGUGUUCACAUAUCAGCUAGGAAUCUCUUUCUGACACUUUGCUUUCCAGGUCAAACACGCUCAGGGCUUGCAAAAUGACAGGGUUGACAAAUGCCAGACCAUUUUGCUACAGCAUGAGCCAACAGUCGCUGGGGUAGGAGAGGAUCUCGCAGGGCUGAUAAAUUUUACCCUUUGCUGAAGCCACAGGUGUUCUGGAGCUGUUUGAAUGCUGAUGAGGAUCAUACAUGCUGUACUCCUGCUUUAGUUCCCUUUUGUUUGCCUUCUGUGAAGACAGAUGUAAUUACGGCUUUUAUUGCACUCUCGAUGGAUAAGAUAUGAGCUUCCCCAGGCAAUAAAAAACGAGUUGGGAAAGUUUGUCACUCGGGUUUCUGUUUCAGAGUGAUGGCAGCAGGAUGAGUCAGGCAACGCAACUGCAGAAUAAUGAAGCGCUCCUCUUUGGACUGUGGGCUAGCAAGUAAGCUACAACAAAGAAGAUUUCAUUAAUUUGGGCCAUGAAAGUGACA